UACGUAGGGUGCAAGCGUUAAUCGGAAUUACUGGGCGUAAAGCGUGCGCAGGCGGUGAUGUAAGACAGGUGUGAAAUCCCAGGGCUCAACCUUGGAACUGCAUUUGUGACUGCAUAGCUAGAGUACGGUAGAGGGGGAUGGAAUUCCGCGUGUAGCAGUGAAAUGCGUAGAUAUGCGGAGGAACACCGAUGGCGAAGGCAGCCCCCCUGGGCUGACACUGACGCCUCAGGCACGAAAGCGUGGGGAGCAAACAGG
rnacentral:rRNA from 1 species